rnacentral:lncRNA from 1 species
CUGACAUCGUGAUCUGCCCGCCUCGGCCUCCCGAAGUGCUGGGAUCACAGGUGUGAGCCACCGUGCCUGGCCCAGUUCAAGGAAUUGUUAUUGGGACCUGUGAUGUGCCAGGCACUCUGCCACAUGCUGGAGAUGCAGUGAUCCUGAUCUUCAGUAGUUGACAGUCUAUGCUUGUAGAUGUAAACAGAUAAUUACAGCAUGGCAUGGUAACUGUUAUAAUAAGAGAUGUGCACUGCUGCUCUGUGGAAAUGCUGGAGAAAGAUACUUAGCACAGCCUGAGAAGGUGAAAAGAAGUCCUUGUUUAGGAGGUAACACCUGAACUGAAUCUUGAAGAGUACUUGGAAAACGCCCAAGUUGCGAGAUUCAGAGGCCUCAGUCUGGAAAAAGUACUGAGAUGGAUUAGUGAUGUCUGCUAUGAUCAGAGGAGUGUGAGUUGGUAGAAUUUAACUUAACACUUACUGAGUACUUAAUGAAUGCCAAGUACUGUUCUAGGUGCUGGGAUACAACAGAGAAUAAAACAAUUUUAAAAAAUUCCCUGCCUUCAUGAAACUAAUGUCCUAGUGUUUGUUUGGAGACCAUAAACAGAAUGUUUAUGUGGUAUGUUUGAAUAUAUUUGCCAUCCCUGCUGCAAGUGGCAGGUAAGUUAAAGUGUCAAACAACAUUAUUCAGGGAAA